rnacentral:tRNA from 1 species
GCGUUCCUUAGCAAGCUCCAGUUGGUUAGAGCACCACCUUGACAUGGUGGGGUCGUUGGUUCGAGAAUCCAAUUGAACGCACCA